ACAGAGGAGCCUGGCAGGCUACAAUCCAUGGGAUUGCAAAGAGUUGGAUAUGACUUCGCAGCUAAAACCACCACAACAAUAAGGGAUCCCAGUUGUUUUGUUGGGGAGAGAUAUGGGGGCACCUGCAGGUUAUGAUUUGAUCAGGGCUCUCCUAAAUCCUAUGUAGAAAGGAGAACAUGGAGAAUUGGUUCAUUAUGUUGUUGGGUAAAGUAUUCAGUGCCUCCUUUCUAAAAUGAAGAUGAUAAAUCUACUUUACUACUUUGACUUGUCACUUUUUCCCAACUUGGUCUAACUUGCUUUGGGUCCCAUCUGUGUGUAAACAAGGCAACGGUUGCUCCCCUCUACUUAUGCAGAUCAGUGGUCACUUGAUCAUUAGACAGACCAUAAGCUCUACAAGGGAAGACAGCAUGAUUUGUGCUCCUUUGAGAUUUCAGGGUCUAGCACAGAGCACAUGUAUAAAGUAGGCAUUUGAUCAAUGAGUACAUGAGUUGGGUAGGAAAACACUUUCUUAACCUCUAAUAGAUAUUAAUUAACCUCCCCUUUUCUUCUUUUUGUUCACAUUCACACACAUACUUAAGUCUUGAUCAGAUUCAGGUUCCUCGAGUAACCGAACUAUUUUUCAGAAGCUGAUGCUCUGGAUGAAGCUAGGUUACAACAAUGGAGAAUUAGGGAUGAACAGGUAUGGAAUGCAGAUAUUAAGGGAAAGGAAUUCAGUCUUGGCUUGCUGCUGGCCAUCUUUCUUGUUUAGAUCAUCUAGGAGAUUAAAGAGCCACUGACCCCAAAUGAUACUGAUUUGCAGAGCUCCCUGACCAUGUGGAACUUGAGCAGUGGAGGACGAGCUGCUACCUGUGGGCUUUGUUGUUUGACCCCCAGUACUCAGCGCCUAGCCAGGACAUUUUAAGAAGUAGCAACAGAGAGGAUUGCUUUGGACACGGUUAAUGUUUCCUGGAGGCAUUAACAACCAUUUAGUUUUUUCCAAAAUUCAGUAUGAUGGGAAAAAUGCAGAUUUCUGGGCCGUACUCAGAUCAAACCUACAUAUUGUAAACCAUAGGUGUGGGGCAGGGCAUAUUAAGAGAUUCAGUUGGACUUGGUCUCCAUGAGGCUGUUUGCGGGGUUCAGGCCGCCCCAAAUACCCCCUAUUCUUCCACACCGGGCACUAAGGGGAGUGAUAUCUGAUACCUGCAAUGUACUUACGCUUUCCAUGUUCCAAACUCUAGCACUGGAGUAAGAGUAUUCUUUGGUUUUAUAUCAUAUAGCCUUUGACUCCAAGUCCUAGCCUUGUCAUUUACAGAAAACAUUUUUUAAAAAAUUAAAAUUAUCCUUUGUUAGAGCUAUUUUUGGUGCAUAACAGAAUUGAGUGGAAGACACAGAGAUGCCUUGUACACCCCCUGCCCCAACACAUGCACAGCCUCCCUCAUUACCAACUUUGCCUCCAAGAGUGGUACCCUUGUUUCAACUGAGGGACUUACAUUGACCCAUCCUUGGCAUCUCCAGUUUGUACUAAGGUUCCCACAACCUCAUUUGUUUCAGCUGUAAGUGGUUUAAGGGUUCAGACUUCUCUCACAUGCUCCGCUUGUUCCUGUUCCCAUGUUUUAAGAAGGUGAUGAAGAAGUUUUGUAGAUUCUGUUGUUCUUAACUUUAAACUCUUUAGUUGGGCUGGAAACCCUAUGCAUUCAUUAGAGUAGUGAUCUCAACACCAUGUCCCUAAGCGAUCCGUGUCAGCAUUCCUAGUAGAAGCAUCAAUCUUAGGCCCUACCCCAGACCAAUUAAAUCAGGUGCUGGGCAGCAAGCUGUGUUUUAAUCAGCCGUUCAAACAAUUGGAAUAUUGCUGUAAUUUGAGAACCACUGGACAUUACAGAAAUGUUACUCAUUGGCUUAACAUUUUUAUGAGCACCAGUUGGGCUGAGUGGAUGAUGCUUCACAUAGUGGCAUUUAAGGAGAAUGAAAAAAGGCUUUCUGCGGCCAGAUGAGGGCAAGACAGUACCGUGGGUCAGCUGUACCAUAGUCAUAUUUACUUUUUUGCCUAGACAGACUUAACCUCUGGGCUUUGUGGUCCUUGUUUGUAAAUUUAUUAUUUUUUUAUUAUUAUUCAAUCAGAGUCCAGCCUCAGCUGUUGCCCGCUUAAACGAGGUUGCGGGCUAAGUGCUUGUACUCUCCGGUAAGCUAGUAGAUGUUCAGUGAUGGUCCGUUUGCUGCCCUCAUGGAAGGCGGGAACAGUGUGUGAUUUCAGCGGACCGCAGAGCCAGGGACGGGAAGGGCCUGCAUCUCCUUUGGUCAGUGUUACAACUCUAGCAACUAGCACCAUUUCUGGCUCUGGUAAAUGUUGGUUAUAUGAGCAAAUAUGACGGCAUAAAUCCAAAACAAUGAAUGAUAAAAGGCAGUUUUACUGGCUAUGUUGGCUGAUAACAGUAUAAAUGCGAGGAAGAGUUUUUCAGGCAAAGCUUAGACCCAUCAUAAGAAGUUUAAGGGUCCGAAGUACUAACACCUGGAGUGAGAUGGGCCAGGUGGAAGGAGGAUGAGCGGAGAUUUAAGAUCCCCGCCCUCGGCUCUGUACCACGCAGCCGACUUAGUCCUCCCAGCCCCUGACCUCGCGUUCCGCGGCCGCAAAGCCCCUCUGCUGGCUCCACCACCAGGUGCGGCAGUUGGGCCAGAGGCUCUUGCUCUCCGGGGUUCGUGCCCGGUCAGUGUGAGGCAAGCUGAUGGCUGUAGGGGCCAAAGAGAAGAUGGCGGGCCUUCAGGAGUUUCCUGACCAUCCUGGAAUGACCCAGGACCGACUGGACAAACAGCCUGAGCAGCACGGGUUCGCUGCAUCACCCUGGUUGUUGACGGAUACGGUCUUAAGGCCCACCAGGCUGUAUCGGCUGCGUGCAGUAUCUUGGUGGUAAACAACAGAAGUCAUGAGCAACCAAUUUAAGCAGAAAUUUGAUUUAUUUGUAGAAAACUGCACAGUUCCUAGGAUCAAGGACCUGGACUGAGGAUGCAAGGUGAAUGACAACACAGACCUUGGUAAGCCUCUGGCACUGUCUGAAACAUUCUGCACCACAACUAGGUUAACAACUUCAAGUUAAUGUAAACACUCUGAAAAUGAAAGCACCGGGUGCUGAAUUGCAAAUAUGGCCUGACCAAAAAGAAGGAGGGGAUGAAAUAAAGGCACAGGCCACUCACCGACUACAGGCUCCGUGAGCCAUUCCUCAGGGAGCUGAGAGUAAAGGAGCCAUCUCCCCUACUCCUGUCUUACUGAUCAACCACCAAAAUAGAAUGCUGACAUCAUCUGUGCAUCUGUUCAUUUCAUAAUCAACGUCAUCACCUUCAUUGCAGUCCUAACUUGUAUCUGUUCAGGGCUUUACUCUAUAGCAAGCAUCCUGCUAAGCACUUUGAAUGUGUUAUAUGGUUAUGUGCACACAGCAGCCUAGGAGGUUACAGAUCCUGGGAAGAGAUUGGCACUUAUACAGACAUCCUCUGUAGGUUAGCUCGUGGGCCUGAGUUAAUUAGUCAAGGAUGCAGAGUCUUUGUGUAAGGGAUGUGGAUGCUGAGAGAAAGCAGGACCAGUUUCAGCAUAUCUUAGCAUAAUUUCUGUGUUCCAGAGUCCCUAAGAGGAGGUCACCCAGAACUACUGAUAAGAUUUUGACAGACCUGAGAUCAUUAUUUUUGCUGUGCUGCAGUCAGUUUUGCUUCACUAUUCAGAAAACUGCAGAAGCUACGUUCCUGUUGAAGAGAAUCUUUACAAUGAUGAGAUACUCAUGACUCUGAAACCAAACUUAGUAAUACCAAAUUAAGUCCUCAUCUGGAGGCAGAAAGUAGAUUUAUAGCUUCCUCCAGCUUUCUUUAACUACACCCAUUUCCCUGAAGUCUAACUCAAUUCUGGUUUAAAAAUGUUUUUAAAAAAUUUAUUUAUUUUUGGCUCUGCUGAAUCUUCAUUGCUGCGUGGGCUUUUCUCUAGUUGCCGCGAGCGGAGGCUCUUGUCUGUUUUCAGCAAAUGAGCUUCUCAUGGUGGUGGCUUCUCUUAUUGCAGAACACAGACUCUAGGACAUUGGGCUUCAGUAGUUGCUGUAGGUGGGCUCAAUAGUUGCGGCUCCUGGGUUCUAGAGCAUAGGCUCAGUAGUUGUGGCACACAGGCUUAGUUUUCCCAUGGCAUGUGGGAUCUUCCCAGAUCAGGGAUGGAACCAUGUCUCCUGCAUUGGCAGGUGGAUUCUUUACCAAUGAGCCACCAGGGAAGCCCCAGGUUUAAUAAUCUUUUAUCUAAGUGGUUCUGAUACUCAGUUCAUAUGAGGACUAUGAAAACACGGUCAUAAUAUUUCUUACAGCUGUAUAUUAUUAUUCUCACUUUAAGAUGAGGAAAUUGAGACUCAGAGAUUAGAGAACAUGCACAAGGUUUUACAGAUAGUAAUGCCAGAGUUUUGGUUUUGAAACCAGCUUGAACUUUUAACAAUUCCACUAUUCUGUCUAUGUUUUAAAUAAAAUAAUGCCUGGGCUUAUCCUAGAUUGUUUUGUGGGGUUAGUCAGUUGCGUAGCUGGUGAUAUAACAUUUGAAGAGGAUCAAAUAAGUUAUACAAAAUGUAAAAUCCCCAUAUGAAUUUGGAUUUGCUAUAAAUAUAAUCACUGCUCAUGUUUGAAUAAAACAAUAGACUAUCAGAGAAUCAUUGCAAUUUUUUCAUCUUUUAUUUAAAAAAUGCUCUACUUUUGUCUGUUUUAUCUUGGAUAGUAUGAGGUAUUUGUAUGAAUAAUAGGUGCUUUAUGAAAGGAAAUGACAGGGGCCUCAUUUUUUAUUUGGAUGAUUAUAUGUAGCAGAUUUAUAUGUCCAAAAUAGUUAAAAGCAAGGGCAUAGACUUAGAAGCAAAAGGAAAUUAAAGUGUAAGGCAUCUGCAGAAAUUCCAUAAAAGUGCCUGAGAAGUUCUUUCUUGCUUCCCCCCUUACAACCCCCAAUCUGUGCCUUGCCCAGUCUUCAAAGACUUCUUUGAGCACAAAUCUUGACAAAGGCCUC